AGCGAACGCUGGCGGCAGGCCUAACACAUGCAAGUCGAACGAACCUUUCGGGGUUAGUGGCGGACGGGUGAGUAACACGUGGGAACGUGCCUUUAGGUUCGGAAUAACUCAGGGAAACUUGUGCUAAUACCGAAUGUGCCCUUCGGGGGAAAGAUUUAUCGCCUUUAGAGCGGCCCGCGUCUGAUUGGCUAGUUGGUUGAGGUAAUGGCUCACCAAGGCGACGAUCAGUAGCUGGUCUGAGAGGAUGAUCAGCCACAUUGGGACUGAGACACGGCCCAAACUCCUACGGGAGGCAGCAGUGGGGAAUCUUGCGCAAUGGGCGAAAGCCUGACGCAGCCAUGCCGCGUGAAUGAUGAAGGUCUUAGGAUUGUAAAAUUCUUUCACCGGGGACGAUAAUGACGGUACCCGGAGAAGAAGCCCCGGCUAACUUCGUG
rnacentral:rRNA from 1 species